GGAUGUGAGGGUCAUGUGGCUGUGACAUCUGUCACCCCAUUGAUCGCCAGCGUUGAUUCUGCUGAUCUGACUGUCUAGGAGAGUGUCCCCUUCCUCCCUCAAUCUCCAUGUGUGUCCCUCCCAAAGCUGUGUGCUUGGUAGAAGAGCAGGACCUUCUCCAAUAAAGGAGGGCCUGUCUUUGGUCAAGGAUAUACUAGUAGCUGCACUUCCCUGCUAGAACCUCCCCAAAAAGUGCUUAAAUACCAGAAUUAGAAUUGGAUUAAAGGUUCAGUGGAUAAAGGCAUUUAUAGCGGUGAUCUGAGUUUGAGCCUUGGGAU
rnacentral:snRNA from 1 species